rnacentral:rRNA from 1 species
AUGAACGCUGGCGGCGUGCCUAAUACAUGCAAGUCGAGCGAACAGACGAGGAGCUUGCUCCUCUGACGUUAGCGGCGGACGGGUGAGUAACACGUGGAUAACCUACCUAUAAGACUGGGAUAACUUCGGGAAACCGGAGCUAAUACCGGAUAAUAUAUUGAACCGCAUGGUUCAAUAGUGAAAGACGGUUUUGCUGUCACUUAUAGAUGGAUCCGCGCCGCAUUAGCUAGUUGGUAAGGUAACGGCUUACCAAGGCAACGAUGCGUAGCCGACCUGAGAGGGUGAUCGGCCCCACUGGAACUGAGACACGGUCCAGACUCCUACGGGAGGCAGCAGUAGGGAAUCUUCCGCAAUGGGCGAAAGCUUGACGGAGCAACGCCGCGUGAGUGAUGAAGGUCUUCGGAUCGUAAAACUCUGUUAUUAGGGAAGAACAAAUGUGUAAGUAACUAUGCACGUCUUGACGGUACCUAAUCAGAAAGCCACGGCUAACUACGUG